GAUGUUAAUGAUUGGGUUGGCCCACCAAAUAAUAAUGGAGUAACUAAAGAAGUUACUAUUAAUCCAGACACUACUUGUGGCAAUGACUGGGUCUGUGAACAUCGAUGGCGCCAAAUAAGGAACAUGGUUAUUUUCCGCAAUGUAGUGGAUGGCCAGCCUUUUACAAACUGGUAUGAUAAUGGGAGCAACCAAGUGGCUUUUGGGAGAGGAAACAGAGGAUUCAUUGUUUUCAACAAUGAUGACUGGUCACUUUCUUUAACUUUGCAAACUGGUCUUCCUGCUGGCACAUACUGU
rnacentral:sRNA from 1 species